GCAGUAGGUCAAUAUGCUUGUCUCAAAGAUUAAGCCAUGCAUGUGAAGUAUGAACUAAUUCAGACUGUGAAACUGCCGAUGGCUCAUUAAAUCAGUUAUAGUUUGUUUGAUGGUAAUUCUGCUCUUCGAAACCGUAGUAAUCUCUAGAGCUAAUACGUGCAACAAACCCCGACUUCUGGAUAGGGAUGCAUUUAUUAGAUAAAAGGUCGACGCGGGCUCUGCCCGUUUUGCUGCUGAUGAUUUCAUGAUCAUCGACGGAUGCACGGCCAUCGUGCGGCGAACGCAUCAUUCAAAUUUCUGCCCCUAUCAACUUUUCGAUUGGUAGGAUAGAGGCCUACCAUGGGUGGGACGGGUGACGGAUGAAUUAUGGUUCGAUUCCGGAGAGGGAGCCUGAGAAAGGCUACCACAUCCAAGGAAGGCGCAGGCGCGCAAAAUUGACCCAAUUGACACGGGGAGGUAGUGCAAUAAAUAACAAUACCGGGCUCUUCCGAGUCUGGUAAUUGGAAUGAGUACAAUCUAAAAUCCUUAACGAGGAAUCCAAUUGGAGGGCAAGUCUGGUGCAGCAGCCGCGGUAAUUCACAGCUCCAAUAGAGCGUAUCUUUAAGUUGUUGCAGUUUAAAGAAGCUCGUAGUUGGACCUUGGGUUGGGUCGACCGGUCCGCUCGCGGUGUGCACCUUCGGCUCGUUCGCCUUCCUGGCCCGGCGAUGCCGCUGCCUGCGCCUUCAACUGUGCCGGUCGUGCCCUCGGCGCUGUUUACUUUGAAGAAUUAGAGUGCUCAAAGGCAACCUACGUCUGGAUACAUUAGCAUGGGAUAACAUCAUAGGACUUUCGGUCUAUUGUGUUGGCCUUCGGGAAUCGGAGUAAUGAUUAACAGGGAACAUCGGGGGCCAUUCGUAUUUUCAUAGUCAGAGGUGAAAUUCUUGAUUUAAUUGAAAGAACGAACAACUGCGAAUAGUUUGCCAGGAUGUUUCAUAAUCAAGAACGAAAGUGGGGGCUCGAAGACGAUCAGAUACCGGUCCCUAGUCCCUCACAUAAACGAUGCCGACCAGGGAUCGGCGGAUGGUUGCUUUUUGGACCCGCCGGCACCUUUAUGAGCAAUAAAGUCCUUUGGGGUUCCGGGGGGAGUAAAUGGUCGCAUAGGCUGAAACUUAAGGAAUUGACAGAAGGGCACCACCAGGAGUGGAGCUGCGGUUUAAUUUGACUCAACACGGGGAGAAACUUACAGUCCAGACUAGUAAGGAUUGAACAGACUGAGAGUCUUUCUUGAUUCUAUGGGUGGUGGUGUCAAAUGGCCGUUCUUAGUUGGUGGAGCAGAUUUGUCUUGGUUAAUUCCCGUUAACGAACGAGACCUCAGCUGCUAACAUAGCUAUGGCCGGAGGUGACGCCUCCGGGCCAGCUCUUAGAGGACUAUGGCCUUUUAGGCCAAGGAAGUUUGCAGGCAAUACAGGUCUGUGAUGCCCUUAGAUGUUCUUGGCCGGCACCGCGCUACACUGAUGUAUUCAACGAGUCUAUAGCCUUGGCCGACAGGCCCGGGUAAUCUUUGAAAUUUCAUCGUGAUGGGGAUAGAUCAUUGCAAUUGUUGGUCUUCAACGAGGAAUUCCUAGUAAGCGCGAGUCAUCAGCUCGCGUUGACUACGUCCCUGCCCUUUGUACACACCGCCCGUCGCUCCUACCGAUUGAAUGGUCCGGUGAAGUGUUCGGAUCGCGGCGACGUGGGCGGUUCGCCGCCGGCGACGUCGCGAGCGUGGGCGGUUCGCCGCCGAGCGACGUGCGAGAAGUCCACUGAACCUUAUCAUUUAGAGGAAGGAGAAGUCGUAACAAGGUUUCCGUAGGUGAACCUGCGGAAG
rnacentral:rRNA from 1 species